AAGCUGCCCGUAGGGCUUUGAAGGUAGGGUCGCAACGUUGCUCGCUCUCGAAGGUACUGAGGUCUGGAAACUCGGUGGAGAUGGAAACUAGGUAGUCAUCAAAGUCAUCAUCAUCA
rnacentral:lncRNA from 1 species